CAAGUAGUAAUCCGUACAUAUACCUGUGAUCCAUACAAAAGCAGGCAACGACAGGUAUAACUAGCAUAUAGAUACAAAUUACUUAUACAACAGACGCGCGCGAGCAGCAGGUGAGGGACGAACUAUUGUUACGACUAAUUUGUCGGUAAAGGCUGCCGAGACAUGGCGGACACAACAGUUAAAAAUGUACCGUCAACCGGAAGCAACAAUGAUCAAAGUGGAAUUGCAAUGUCGCUUCACACUAAAAACAGUAUGGAUAUCAGUUUAACAGCUACGAACACAUUCGAAAGUCCCGAAAAACCGCUCACCUUCCACGAGAAGAUUCGCUUUAUUUCUCUUCUCGUAUUUAUCAGCGCCUCAUUCAUUGUAGCUGUAGUUCUGAGUUCCGUCUACAACAUGUGACGUCAUUUCCGGUUUAGGCUGUGAGAUGCCAUAUUCUGUCCUUUGCAGAGACAUGUACAUAGCUUCGUCUUUGGAUGUAAUUUGUUGUAUAGUGGAUAAACUUAUUCUGAUGAGAUGACAGUAAAGAGACAGAAUUCUACACCCAGGCUGUAGUUCUGAGUUCCGUCUACAACAUGUGACGUCAUUUCCGGUUAAGGCUGUGAGAUGCCAUAUUCUGUCCUUUGCAGAGACAUGUACAUAGCUUCGUCUUUGGACGUAAUUUGUUGUAUAGUGGAUAAACUAAUUCUGAUGAGAUGACAGUAAAGAGACAGAAUUCUACACCCAGGCUGUAGUUCUGAGUUCCGUCUACAACAUGUGACGUCAUUUCCGGUUAUGGCUGAGGUGCCAUAUUCUGUCCUUUGCAGAGACAUGUACAUAGCUUCGUCUUUGGACGUAAUUUGUUGUAUAGUGGAUAAACUAAUUCUGACGAGAUGAUAGUAAAGAGACAGAAUUCUACAUCCGGGACUUUGAUAUUAAGGCAAUUGAUUAACAAACGUUGUAUAUAAACCCUGGGUGUAGUUUUAAAUUAUACCAGGGUUGCUUUUAUUUUAGAAAAUAUGCGAUCACCACUUAAUGAGUGUCAUCAGUAGUCAUCCAUGUCUGGGAAAUAUAUCUUUGAAACAGAAACGAUCACCGUCAGUUUUUUUUUCUCUUGGCAAUACUGCAAACAGAUUUUGAAAGACCAGUUACAUUCAAAAGUAGAAAAGCAAUGUUUUUAAUUCAUCUAAGUCUGUGUGUUAGAGGAUAUUUAAGGAAACCUUAGAAUUUGAAAAUUAUCGUGAACAGCUAGAUUACAGAAACCGGAUUACAUUUUGUAAAAUUAGAACAACUUAACAUAAAGCAGGAAGGUGGAGUAAAUUUGUAAGAGAAGAUAGAGUUUGUACAUAUUGUAAUGAUGUAAAGGUUGGAGACGAAUUUCACUAUUUGUAAGAAUGUAAUAGAUUUACCAGUAAAAGAAAGUUUUAUUUAUAAGAUUAUUUCUGUUCAAGAAUAUAUGUUAUCAAAUGCCAAUCCUUAAGCUGACAGUCCAAGUUAAAAAGCAUUUAAUUGAGAUUAAAAAAAAAUAAUACAUGUCCAGAUUUCCAAAAAUCGUUUCCGAGACAUUCCCCUGUUAUGGUAGUGUCGUAUCUAAGGACGGGCAGACAUUUUUCCUUUUUGUUAUGCGUGGAUACAAACCGCUAUAAAGGCGCGUGCGUUCAUUAAUUGAGACAAGUAUAAGAUUAAUUCUGUUCGAGAAUAAAUUCCCAUCCUUAUAAAUGUAUCUAUUUCAUCAGCUGUGAACAUCAUUAUUGUAUAUAUAUAUGUAUUGUAAUGUUGAUUAACUAUGUUUGUAAAGAGAAUGAAACAAAACUCUUCAUGAUGAGAUUCCAUAACGAGGAUUCACAUAACAUUCAUUUAUAUCUUAACUAAACAAAAUUUUGCUACACAAUUGUAUAUUUAUACCAGCAGAACAGACAUUUACAGUGAAAUAUUAACAUUGGAAACUUAAAAAUUCAUGUGACGUUUAGAAAUUGAUGACGUCACAGCAAGAUAUAUUGCUGUUCACGAGACAUUCCUGUAGAAAGACUGAUUUCGUUUCUUUUUAAGAAUCAGCGACAUAAUUUCUACACCAUGCUUAAUAUCGUCUAUAUAUCGAUAUUGAGAUUUUGUUAAUCAAUUAAUUAACAUUACGUAUCUACUUAUCAUAGAUAAAAUAUUGAAAUAUUUUCA